UACGGAGGGUGCAAGCGUUAAUCGGAAUUACUGGACGUAAAGCGCACGUAGGUGGUUUGUUAAGCUAGCUGUGAAAUCCCCGGAUCAACCUGGGCACUGCGGUUAGAACUGGCAAGCUAGAAUAGGGUAGAGGGAUGUGGAAUUCCAGGUGUAGCGGUGAAAUGCGUAGAUAUCUGGAGGAACAUCAGUGGCGAAGGCGACACCCUGGACUCAUACUGACACUGAGGUGCGAAAGCGUGGGGAGCAAACAGG
rnacentral:rRNA from 1 species